rnacentral:lncRNA from 1 species
CACUAUUGGGUUCCAGUCACACAAUGAAAAUAAUUUUAAAUUUUUUUAAAAAUACUCAAAUCAAUAGCUUUAUCAAAUAAAACUAUCGAGCCGAACUCAAAACCCUAGAAUCACCUUGCCGAACACGAUCAAAGCAAAUUCAAACAUUCAAAGAAAUAGAAUAUUAUACUUAAUUAAAAUAAAAAAGUAUCAGUUGGUGUUCUCCACAAGACCCCA